UGCACCCAAAAGCCUAUAAAUCCUAAAGGAAAAUUCAGAACUUCACAAAAAUUGAUGAGCAUAUGUGUCAUAACAUGUUGAAGAAGCAUGUACAGUUAUGGAGAUCGGACCAUAGAUGCUUCAGCAGCUGAAGAAUCUUGCCCUGGAGGCUGAGACAGAGCUGGAGCGUCAAGACGAGGCUCUGGAUCUAUUGAGUUGUUCUACCGACCACACCACCAUGAACAUAAACAGGCAUACCAGCCGCAUGAGGAAACUGUUGUGAACGUAAUGCUUAAUGCCAGAUUAAUGGUCAACAUAGAUCUGCAACCUGCAAACUAAAUCUGACAACACACAAAUACUUUUUAACAUAAUUUUGCAUGGCUUGACAUUCUAACCCUCUGGAGAAAAAUGUAGUGAACUCUGAGAUAAUUUAAGCACUGUAAUCAAUUUGAAGUUGUUGCUGUUAUGAAGUGACAUCUCAGUAUUUCUCAAGAUUCUGUACGUUGUCAUCCACUUAAAAGUAAUGCACUCUAUCUUAGGUGUAAUCCUGCUUUUUUGUCAGUUAUAUGUGUGCUGGACCUCAAUCAGUUGAUUCAAUAAGGUGUCCAUUAGUGUAAAGUAAACUGAUAAUGUAUUUAUUUACUGUGUUCUUUGUGAUCAAGAAAAGUGUAAAAUAAACUCAAAUUGACAUUU